CCCCCGCCGGUCUCCUACCCCCCAGAUCUGCCCAUCCGCCAUGGCGCCUCCACCGCACCGCCACCUGCUGCUGCUGCUGCUCCUCCUCCCCCUCGUCCUCCUCGCGGCCACACCUGCCGGCGCUGAUGACCUUGUCUCGGAGCUCCAGUCCCUCCGCGCGCGGUCCCCGUCCGGCGUGAUCCACCUCACCGACACCGCUGUCACCCGUUUCCUCACCGCCCCCUCCUCGCGCCGCCCCUACUCCGUGCUCGUCUUCUUCGACGCCGCUUCGCUCCACUCCAAGCCCGACCUCCACCUGCCCCAGCUCCGCACCGAGUUCGCGCUCCUCUCCGCCUCCUUC
rnacentral:lncRNA from 1 species